rnacentral:rRNA from 1 species
GUAAACCCAAGGUUUCCAGGGGAAGGUUCGUCCGCCCUGGGUUAGUCGGGACCUAAGCUGAGGCCGAAAGGCGUAGGUGAUGGACAACAGGUUGAUAUUCCUGUACUACCGAUAACCGUUUGAGUGAAGGGAUGACACAGUAGGAUAAGCUAAGCACACUGUUGGUUAUGUGUGCCCAAGCAUUGAGGCAGUCAAAGUAGG